rnacentral:rRNA from 1 species
UACGUAGGGGGCAAGCGUUGUCCGGAUUUAUUGGGCGUAAAGAGCGUGUAGGCGGCCAUACAGGUCAGCUGUGAAAACUCGAGGCUCAACCUCGAGACGUCGGUUGAAACCGUAUGGCUAGAGUCCGGAAGAGGAGAGUGGAAUUCCGGGUGUAGCGGUGGAAUGCGUAGAGAUCCGGAAGAACACCGGUGGCGAAGGCGGCCUGCUGGGCAGUUUUGCUGACACUGAGGCGCGACAGCGUGGGGAGCAAACAGG